CGCCGCGUGAACGAUGAAGUAUUUAGGUAUGUAAAGUUCUUUUAUUAAAGAAGAAAAAAUGAUGGAAAAAUCAUUCUGACGGUAUUUAAUGAAUAAGCCCCGGCUAACUAUGUGCCAGCAGCUGCGGUAAUACAUGGGGGGCAAGCGUUAUCCGGAUUUAUUGGGCGUAAAGGGUGCGUAGGCGGUUUAAUAAGUCUAUGGUAUAAGUUCAACGCUUAACGUUGUGAUGCUAUAGAAACUGUUUGACUAGAGUUGGAUAGAGGCAAGUGGAAUUCCAUGUGUAGCGGUAAAAUGCGUAAAGAUAUGGAGGAACACCAGUAGCGAAGGCGGCUUGCUGGGUCUUAACUGACGCUGAGGCACGAAAGCGUGGGGAGCAAACAGGAUUAGAU
rnacentral:rRNA from 1 species